rnacentral:tRNA from 1 species
GGCGGUAUAGCUCAGCUGGCUAGAGCACACGGUUCAUACCCGUGGUGUCAGUGGUUCAAGUCCACCUACCGCUACCA